rnacentral:rRNA from 1 species
ACCGAAUAGAUACCCUGGUAGUCCACGCCGUAAACUAUGAACGCUAGCCGUUGGCGAGCUUGCUCGUCAGUGGCGCAGCUAACGCAUUAAGCGUUCCGCCUGGGGAGUACGGCCGCAAGGUUGAAACUCAAAGAAAUUGACGGGGGCCCGCACAAGCGGUGGAGCAUGUGGUUUAAUUCGACGCAACGCGCAGAACCUUACCAGGGUUUGACAUCCCGAGACCGCUGCUGAAAGGCAGUUUCCCGCAAGGGCUCGGAGACAGGUGCUGCAUGGCUGUCGUCAGCUCGUGUCGUGAGAUGUUGGGUUAAGUCCCGCAACGAGCGCAACCCUCGCCUUUAGUUGCCAUCAUUAAGUUGGGCACUCUAGAGGGACCGCCGGCGACAAGCCGGAGGAAGUGGGGAUGACGUCAAGUCCUCAUGGCCCUUACACCCUGGGCUACACACGUGCUACAAUGGCGGUGACAGUGAGCAGCUAACUCGCGAGAGUAUGCUAAUCUCAAAAACC